GAGUUUAAUCAUGGCUCAGAUUGAACGCUGGCGGCAUGCCUUACACAUGCAAGUCGAACGGCAGCACGGGAGCUUGCUCCUGGUGGCGAGUGGCGAACGGGUGAGUAAUGCAUCGGAACGUAUCCUGGAGUGGGGGAUAACGUAGCGAAAGUUACGCUAAUACCGCAUAUUCUGUGAGCAGGAAAGCGGGGGACCUUCGGGCCUCGCGCUCUUGGAGCGGCCGAUGUCGGAUUAGCUAGUUGGUGAGGUAAAGGCUCACCAAGGCGACGAUCCGUAGCAGGUCUGAGAGGAUGAUCUGCCACACUGGAACUGAGACACGGUCCAGACUCCUACGGGAGGCAGCAGUGGGGAAUUUUGGACAAUGGGGGCAACCCUGAUCCAGCCAUGCCGCGUGAGUGAAGAAGGCCUCGGUUGUAAGUACGU
rnacentral:rRNA from 1 species